GGAGUGCACUUUCUAUAGAUAGCUGCAGCUCACUGGAAUGUGUGAAAUAGGUCCAAAUGCGGAAACGAUCUGCGUCAUAAAUAUCUACGAUUAGUACAGUACGUGAUAGACAACGAUAAAAGCUUACUGCAGACUGCUGAUUCCGCCUUUUACUGCAAUUAUGACCUCAUUUCAAGUUUCUUAGCAUCUGUACCUUGCUAAAUAAUCGGAAUACUUGCAAAAACGGCUCUGAUUUUGAAUUUUCAACAGAGUAUUCUCCUGAACAACCAAAGCUGGUAUGCCCUUCAUGGUACGAGACCAGGAACUUGAGCGCUUAUGUCAAGACAACCUGCCCUGGCUCAAGUUAUUGUGCUGAAGUGUCGUACGAAACGGAUCGUGGCACAAGGCGCGGAGAGCGAACAGCUUUUUUUGCCCCCUCACAAGUCAGGCUGGUCGAUCACUGCAGCGUUCUGCGGAGACUAUAAUUAGACCGGAAACAACGGAUUUCAUUGCAGCCAAAAAGCGAAAGCGGAAUACUGGCCUGGUGUAUCGAUUGAUCGAGACGUGUACUAACUUUCACGGGAAAGAACUGUCUUGGUGAAUAUGGUCUAGCAUCAAGCCACCUGAAAAAUCCAAAGCCCGGGUGCACUUUGGAUGAAGGCAGCGGUGUUCGUCAUGUUACGUGCUUGUGCAAUACUGAUUUAUGCAACAACAGAACACUGGCAGAGCUAGUCGCUGCACGAUCCGCUUACAAUACUUUCUCUCCAUUUUUGGCGCUUUCCGCCGUUGUGAUGACCAGCCUUCGUUCGCUGUUUAAAAUCCUAAAAUCUCAGUGAGAACGCUAGUUGCGGAACGUGCAAAAUGAAGAUUAAGUUUUGUCAAAGAACAAUACGAUUAGUAAAACGGUUUGUAAAUGUUUGUGUCCCAUUCGUGCGUCCGGUGUGUGUAUCCGUUAAAUGAUUUUUUUGCCUACUUUAUUGUGUCCUGAUAUUGCCCGAAA